UGCGUAGACGGUUAUGUAAGUCGGGUGUGAAAGCCCCGGGCUCAACCUGGGAAUUGCAUUCGAGACUGGAUAGCUAGGGUGCGGAAGAGGGAAGCGGAAUUUCAGGUGUAGCGGUGAAAUGCGUAGAUAUCUGAAGGAACACCAGUGGCGAAAGCGGCUUCCUGGUCCAGCACCGACGUUCAGGCACGAAAGCGUGGGGAGCAAACG
rnacentral:rRNA from 1 species